ACAUGUAGGUAUCUACCCUUUGGCCUGGAAUAACACGAGGAAACUUGUGCUAAUACCGGAUAAGUCUUUACGGAGAAAGCUUUAUGCACCAUUGGAUGAGCCUGCACUUGAUUAGUUUGUUGGUGGGGUAAUGGCCUACCAAGACUGUGAUCAAUAGCUGAUUUGAGAGGAUGAUCAGCCACAUUGGGACUGAGACACGGCCCAAACUCCUACGGGAGGCAGCAGUGGGGAAUCUUGCACAAUGGAGGAAACUCUGAUGCAGCGAUGCCGCGUGAGUGAAGAAGGCC
rnacentral:rRNA from 1 species